rnacentral:rRNA from 1 species
UACGUAGGGGGCGAGCGUUGUCCGGAUUUAUUGGGCGUAAAGAGCUCGUAGGCGGUUGGGUAAGUCGGGUGUGAAAACUCAGGGCUCAACUCUGAGACGCCACUCGAUACUGCCCUGACUCGAGUCCGGUAGGGGAGCGUGGAAUUCCCGGUGUAGCGGUGAAAUGCGCAGAUAUCGGGAGGGACACCAGUAGCGAAGGCGGCACCCUGGGCCGGUACUGACGCUGAGGAGCGAAAGCGUGGGGAGCAAACAGG